rnacentral:rRNA from 1 species
UACGGGGGGGGCAAGCGUUGUUCGGAAUUACUGGGCGUAAAGGGCUCGUAGGCGGCCAACUAAGUCGGACGUGAAAUCCCUCGGCUUAACCGGGGAACUGCGUCCGAUACUGGAUGGCUUGAGUUUGGGAGAGGGAUGCGGAAUUCCAGGUGUAGCGGUGAAAUGCGUAGAUAUCUGGAGGAACACCGGUGGCGAAGGCGGCAUCCUGGACCAACACUGACGCUGAGGAGCGAAAGCCAGGGGAGCAAAGCAGG